CUGACAGGCUCUGUGUUCACAGGGGUGGCCGGCCGGCACCUGAGGGGGCAGCCAGGAGAGCUCCUGAUGAUCUACACUGCCCUUGAAGAAAUGACAGAUGACAUCAGUAUUGCCAUCCAAAGUGUGGCAAUUGAAACAUUGUGCAUUCUCAAGGCAGCAGAGCGGGCUCCGAUAUCCAAGUUCCAGAGACUGCAAGAUCAGCUGCACAGGGUGUGGAAGGCUCAGCCUCAUCUGUAACAUCUCAGCAGGCAGAGCUGCUGGAGCUCUGUGGACAAUUGAUCCCAGAGGCUCUUUUUGGUGCAGCCACCUGAGUACUCAGGAAUUUUGUUUUUCUUUUAGAAUGUUCUCCUUUUUAUUUUUUUUUCUAUGUAAAUAUAGAAUGUGUUAUAAUACAAA